UAAGAUGCUUCUCCCAUCAGAUGUCUUUCUGUAUUUGUCGGAGCACCGCUUCUAGAUUCACAAUCAGCGUCUUUUCUUGUUUUGUCCCGGAACGACAGAGGUCGUGGUUCAAAUCUCUGUUCAGCCACGAAACUGGGGUUGAUCCUGGAACAGCUCCAUACUCAUAGCAUUUUGCUAGAAAUAGGAAACCCAGGAGAGCUCAAAUCAUCCUUCACCUCUCAGGUUCACUGGCUCAUCCCGGUCAAUCACUACCUCUCAGCCCAAACCAGAGAGAUUUAAAAGGCUAUAAAUAGGGGACAGGACCAUGUUCACUGCCUCGAACAAAGUCACAAUAACAACGUUAGACUGUGAUAAAUGAACAGCCAUACCAAACCCUCACCUUAUUUCUCCUUCCUAACCAUAGGGAGUGAACUUUCAUUAUACAAUCUCUGGAGCUGUGGGAGGGGAAAGCUCUGAAGACUGAUUUAAUUACUGUUAGCUGCCGGUGGUAACGAUAGCAAUGAGAGAAAGUCUUCAGAGCUUUCUCGGCACCUCAGCAUUGUUCUGUGAGGCGUCUGUAGGCAGCUCCGAGUCAUCCCUAACAAUGGAGAUCCGUAACAUGGGUGACUCAGAAAUCACACAUGUGGGACCUGCCAAUCCUCCUUCUCUGCCCUGUCAUGAGAUUUCGGAGAAGCUCUGGAGCGCUCGACAGAAGGCAAGAUCUAUGCCUCCAGGACAGCAGACGGGAUGGAGAGAAGGAGGAGGAGAAUGAAAACAGAAUGAGAGAGAGAAAUGGAAAAGGUCCAAUGAUGAAUGAUUGGGGAUUAAAAUAGCGUUCGCCCUGGCUGCAACGGAAUAUGAGGCUCCUGGAAUGAUAUAACAGAUGUUUCAAAGAUUGAAAUGUCACACUAGGCACUGGAGAGUGGAACACAGUGUUAUCGGAGUCUUUCCUGCUUCUAAUCAGCCUGUUCUUUUUGCUAGACUCUCUGAGUGAUGAUGGAGGUGGCGCUGAGCGCAGGACCAAAGGCCAGAAGAACAGAGCACAUGGGACAGCAGUGCAUGGCGAGGGGCCAGGUGACCAGCGUUCAGAGCCCCUGCAAAGAGGUCUCAUGGCACCUUAGAGACUUUGUCCUACAUUAAAGGAUUGUUUGUUUUAUUUAUUUAUUUUCAUGUAUUUCUUCUGAAGGGACCCAGAAUGGCACACACCUCAGUAUAGCCACCCAUCACCUAUAUAACAAAGGCUAUAAUCCAAUUAUGAGGGACAUGGUGGCACUGCGGGUUAAACCGCAGAAGCCUCUGUGCUGCAAGGUCGGAAGACCGGCAGUCGUAAGAUCGAAUCCAUGCAACGGAGUGAGCUCCCCUCGCUUGUCCCAACUCCCGUCAACCUAGCAGUUCGAAAGCAUGUAAAAAUACAAGUAGAUAAAUAGGUACCACCUCGGUGGGAAGGUAACAGCGUUCCGUGUCUAGUCGCGCUGGCCACGUGACCAUGGAAGAUUGUCUUCAGACAAACGCUGGCUUUACGGCGUGGAGACGGGGACGAGCACCGCGCCCUAGAGUCAGACACAACUGGACAAAUUGUCAAGGGGAACCUUUACCUAUAAUCCAAUUAUGAGAGCCUUCCUGCAAACGGUAAAAAAAUAUAAGAAUAAAAUUUAGCAACGAGACCCA
ensembl:lncRNA